rnacentral:rRNA from 1 species
UACAGAGGGGGCAAGCGUUGUUCGGAAUUACUGGGCGUAAAGGGCGCUUAGGCGGCCUUCUAAGUCGAACGUGAAAUCCCCGGGCUCAACCCGGGAACUGCGUCCGAUACUGGAAGGCUUGAAUCCGGGAGAGGGAUGCGGAAUUCCAGGUGUAGCGGUGAAAUGCGUAGAUAUCUGGAGGAACACCGGUGGCGAAGGCGGCAUCCUGGACCGGUAUUGACGCUGAGGCGCGAAAGCCAGGGGAGCAAACGGG